rnacentral:lncRNA from 1 species
AAUCUAAAUCGUUAUCUUGAACUGAUUUUUCUUAAAUCUGUUGAAGGUAAACAUUCUUCCUUGAAACUGUAUGGAAAAAGAUAUAUUAGCAAUUCUUCUUCUAAUCAUAAACAUUGAAUUCUAGAUAGUCCUUUGGUAUACAGAGAAUUUAUUUCUUCAUACUGUUACUUCAGAAGUGGCUAAGAAUAGAAGAUGGUACAAAACAGGAAAAUUGUGGCUUGCUAUCUGAUCUUUUAAUGCACAGGAAAAAAUUAAAAAUCUUCAUCUUCCUUCCUCUUGUCACAUACUUUAAUUCUCAAGAAAUUGAAUAAGUAUUUUUCUUAAUAAACUGAGUCAAAUGGAAACUUUGUAAUUAAAGACAAGGUGAAGCUGCCCGCUUGUUAAUACACAGAAAUUUUUCUUUUUUUAUUAACAUCAGUUAAUGGGAUUAAACUGAUUUAAGGGACUGCUUUGAGGGAAAGAAUUCUAUUUUAAAUUUAUAUAUGUAACUGUUUAAUAAAACUAAAGUCAGACAGAAUCUAACAAAACUGAACAAUAAAUUGCCUUCUUGUUGCUUCCAUAA